rnacentral:rRNA from 1 species
CACAAGCAGUGGAGUAUGUGGUUUAAUUCGAAGCAACGCGAAGAACCUUACCAGGGCUUGACAUCCCUUGAAGCAGCUAGAGAUGGCUGUGUCCUUCGGGACAGGGAGACAGGUGGUGCAUGGUUGUCGUCAGCUCGUGUCGUGAGAUGUUGGGUUAAGUCCCGCAACGAGCGCAACCCCUACGUUUAGUUGCUAACGCGUGAAGGCGAGCACUCUAGACGAACUGCCGUUGACAAAACGGAGGAAGGUGGGGAUGACGUCAAAUCAUCAUGCCCCUUAUGUUCUGGGCUACACACGUGCUACAAUGGCCGGUACAGACGGACGCAAAGCCGCGAGGUGGAGCAAAUCCUAAAAAGCCGGUCUCAGUUCGGAUUGCAGGCUGCAAUUCGCCUGCAUGAAGUCGGAAUCGCUAGUAAUCGCAGGUCAGCAUACUGCGGUGAAUACGUUCCCGGGCCUU